GGCGGUGCUUCUCCCAGUCUGCCUUCUGGUUCGCAGGCCUGGAGGCACAUUAGAAUCACCUGAGGGGGCUUUUAAAUCCACCCAUGCCUGGGACCCACCCAGAAAUCUCCAGGAGUGCAGCUGAGGUAGGGAAGUUUUUAAAAACUCUUCAGGUGACUGUGAAGCAGAGAGCAUAUCACUGCUCGAGCGUUUCAGAACCAGAAACAAAUAAGUGACACAAGUGAAGAGUGAAACUACAACAUUUCGGAAUCAAAUUGUCAUGUUGGGAGUAGUCCUAUGGAGAGGCCCCGGUGGCAAGAAACUGAGGUCUCCAGCUCUCAGCAAGAACCCGAGGCCUGCUAACACCCACGUGAGUGAGCUCAGACUCAGGUGUGCUCUGAAACCUGCUGCCAGGUGAGUGCAGUUCUUCCCACAGGGAGCCCUGAGAUGACCGCCGCCUCCGGGGAGACCUUGAAUCAGAACCGCCCAGCUAAGCUACUCCUGCAUUUCUGACCCACAGCACAGGUGAGUGUAUCUGGCAGUGGAUGUUGCGGUGACUUCCAGGUGAUUGUGUCUGGCAGUGGAUGUCAUGGUGACGGCGAGAGAAACAGCCCCGGGCUGAAGCCAUGCUGAGAAGCAGCAACAACAGGAGAAACAAUGGUUCUGAGUGCCAGAAUCACCAGUUAGCAGCAGCACCUCCUGGGAAUUUGUUAGAAAUACACAUUCUCAGCCCCACAUCAGAUUCGGUCAGGAACUCUGGGGAAGGGGCCCAGGAAUCUGUAUCUUAACAAGCCCUCGAGAUGAUUCUGAUGCAAGCCAAAGUUUGAGAACCACAGUUCUAGACUACCCCAUUGGCAGGACUGAUUGAAGACGUCAAAGAGUAUUUAUUGAGUUCACAUAUUUUGUAGAAGGUGGCAUUCAAGGCAUGUUGCAGACUGAAUACAACCCUUGUCUCCCUCUUCCUCACCCUGAUGGAAACUCUGGACCAAGUAUGAGAACCUUAAAGAGCAACAAAGUACAUGGAGCCAAUCAUUGCAUUGGCCCAAAUCCUACAUCUACAGGAAAAGGGAACAGAAGAUACAUUUUUAUCCAAGAUUUGUCACAUCUGUGGGCCUCCAAAGAUCAGCAAAAUAAGACAUUAAUACUUUUCAAUCUUUUUCAAGUUGUAAUAUGCUAAUAACUGAUGGGUUAAAUUACAAAUCAUGAUCUGUUCCCAAAGACUCUCAAUACACAUAAUUACUUAGAAACAACAAUUAGCCUUGGAAAUUAAUGAUUAAAACCAACACAAUUUAUUACUAAACUAUGUCCUCAAAGCAAGAAGUGGUGUUUAAAGAACCUCCCAGUAGGACUAACGCUUGUGAAAAAGUUAAUUUAGGUAGGCUAAUUUAAAAACCAACAUAGGCCCUCUUUUGGAUCACCAUUUAUGUAAAAUCAUGUUAGUAAGUAUCUUAAGUUUUAACUCCUAUCUAUUCAAGACGAUUGAUUUAUGAAAUUUUAAUUUUUCUGAAUCAGAAGUUGACACUUAGAUCAUCUUUUUUGGUUGCUUUAAUUAACAGGCUUCUACUUUCCCUUUCUUUGUGGUUGCAUAGUAUCAGAAGCCACUCCUUUAUUUUCAACUUCUUAAAAUCACUUUGUUUUACAUUUCUUUUUUGCAUGUAGUACAUAGCUGGAUUUGUUUUUAAGCCAACCUGACAGUCUGUUUUUUAAUGGGUUAAUUCAGUUUGUUUAUAUUUAGUGACAACUGAUAAUACAGUUGACCCUUGAACAACACGGGUAUGAUCUGGGAGACUCUACUAAUACGCAGAUUUUUUUCAACCAAACUCAGAUUGAAAAUACAGUACUCCCUGGAUGUGAAACCCACUUUAACAGAGGGCUGACUUUUCACAUAGGCAGGUUCCACAGGGCUGACUUUGGGACUUGGGAAUGAGCAGAUUUGGGCAUCUGUGGGGGUCCUGAAACCAAACCCCCAAGUGUAACAAAGGAUAACUAUACUCACUUUCCUUCUGCCAACUUAAGUAUGUUCACUGUUUGUUUUAUUUUUUUAUUUUUUAUUUUCUUUGA
rnacentral:lncRNA from 10 species